GACGAACGCUGGCGGCGUGCUUAACACAUGCAAGUCGAACGGAAAGGCCCUGUCUUUGUGGGGUGCUCUAGUUGCGACCGGGUGACUAACACUUGAGUACCCUGUCCCUCCCCUUGAGGUAAGCUCAUAAAACUGGGUCUCAUCGGGGCAAGGAGCUCCUGCCUCAUGAUGGGGGCUGGAAGGAUUCGGCGGUUGGUGAUGGACUCGCGGCCUAUCAGCUUGUUGGUUGGGUAGUGGCUUACCAAGGCUUUGACGGGUAGCAGGCCUGGGAGGGGGACCGGCCACAUUGGGACUGGGAUACGGCCCAGACUCCUACGGGACGCAGCAGUGGGGUAUAUUGCACAAUGGGCGGAAGCCUGAUGCAGCAACGCCGCGUGCGGGAUGAGGGCCAUCGGGUUGUAUUCCGAUUUCGCCUGUGACGAAGCGUGAGUGACGGUAAUGGGUAAAGAAGCACCGGCUAACUACGUG
rnacentral:rRNA from 1 species